GAAAGUUAGCUUCACAUUUGGGUUUCCACGGGAGAUCUCUCCAAGCACUGGAUGCUCUUAGUUUUCUUUUCUACAACCUCUCUCCAUUAUCAUUGCUUUUGUAGAGAGUUAAAACUUGUGCUAGAUAGCGAAAUCACCGAAGACUAUGCACAUCUAUUCUGGUGUCCUCUUCUCCAUUAAAAUUCUCCAAAGUUUGUGGCAUUUAGCAUUAUCACAAUCUCCAUGGGCCUAGGAGGAAUUUUGAAGUUUUGACUCGAAAAGAUGCAGAUGUGAAGCAUAAGCAAGGGUUACAUCACGCGACUUUGUUCAAAGGUUCAAGACAUUGCUUGUGAUGGCAAAGAUGUCAUCGAAACUUUUGUGCUCAUGUUGCAUUCAAAAGGGAGAGAGGAGGAGGUAAUAUCCAAUCCUUUUUGUCCUCUUGAUUGCAACCCUGAGGACAAAAGUUUCAAUGACAUCUUCAACAUCGUAAGCGAAGUCUUCAAUCUCUAUAACAAAGUUCCGCUCUGUAAUCCCUUCUUUAUGCUUUGCAUUUGCAUCUUUAAAAAGCUUUUCGUUCAUCUUAGAUCAGCUUGAAUUGCCUCAACAAGCGUACUCUAGUUAAGAGUUUUGCUUCUUCAAACAACCAAUUACCAAUCCUUUCCAUAGUCAAAGAAACAACAGGCUUAACAACUAUCUCCCUAUGCGCUCAAUGGAAGAACUAUGGGAGCGUAUUGCAGGUUUUUUUUCCCCUCAAUUUUUACAACUUUAUAAUUUUAGUCAGUGAUGCCUUUUCUUCCCUGUUUUUGUUUUUUUCAAAACAUGUUUUCCGCUUCCUAUUAUGAAAAAUUCAACCACAGAUGUACGUUACCAAACAUAUUUCUGCUUUUGACAGAAAUGACAGCACAACAGAAUCAUUGCUUCUGUUUACCACAAAAUUGAAAAAAAAAAAAAAAAAUGGGAGUGGCUACCAAACAAGGCUUAAAGCAUUGUACGUUUACCGAAGAAAAUUGGCUUCAUCUUGAGACCUUUUUCUUUUAAAUAUAUAUAUUCACAAUGUGGUGGGAAACCACAGACGUAUGUUACCAAACAUAUUUCUGCUUUUGAUAGAAAUGACAGCACCGCAGAAUCAUUACUUCCGUUUAUCAUAAAAUUUAAAAAAAAAAAAUAUGGGAGUGGUUACCAAACAGGGUUUAAAGCAUUUUACAUUUACCGAAGAAAAUUGGCUUCAUCUUGAGACCUUUUUCUUUUAAAUAUAUAUAUUCACAAUGUGGUGGGAACUUAUUUGGCCUUCAAUGGAAUGAUGUAGACUUAUUUUAUUAUUUUAAAUUUUAAUUUAAUUUAAUUUUUUAGAAUGCAACAAACUUUUGCUGUUCGUUGGACUUCUUACAUGGUGAAUGAUUGUAUCUUAAUUUACUGUAAAGUGUAAAUUGGACUUCUUACAUGGUGAAUGAUUGUAUCUUAAUUUACUGUAAAGUGUAAACAAUAUCACCCGGCUUUUGAUGGGUUGAUGGUCAAAGUCCUCUAUGUUUCUGUAGAUAAAUGGUGGGCCCUUCAUCUAAAUCAUGCUAGAGCUGUGUGUCUUUUAGAAUUGCAUUAGUUAUAAACUAUUUAGAGAAAUUUGACAAUAAUUCUUUACAGCCAUCAAAUUUUAUUCUGAAUCUAACAAAUAUUAAUUUUUUACUGAUAGGAGCAUAGUCUGUGUGGAUAAAUAUAUCAGUGCUUAAUGACCUUAAUUCUUCUUUCCUCUCCCGCCAUAUCUUUUUGAACAUGUUACGGGUCUUGACAUUUCAUGGUUCAAAUUUUAUUGCCGGUUGUAUAUUGACUCUGUUAUGGCAGGGGUUAGUGAAACGCAGCGCAUGCAAUUAAACAUGCUGGAUUACUUUUGAAAUUUGAAGCUAUAUGUUGCUGUUUGAAUGACUGAGAUUUACGAUUAAGAGGCUCUCAGCUUUGCUUUUCCGAUUGAGAUGGAAAUGAACUCUUAGUUUCACACCUUACUUCUAAAAGAAUUGUAGCUGGAGAUUCAUAUCUUUUUUAUGGAUGCUAAAAUGACAUUGGGCCGGCAGUAUUUUGUGGAACCAAUAAAGCUACCAAGAUCUAAACCACACAAUCCUUCUCAACGGGUGCCGCUCUCACGCUCCAAAUGCUCCUUUUCACUAUUUUUUACUUAAUUUUGCCGCUUUGAUCAUAACAAAAACAAGUCAUUGCAUAAACUGGUUUGAUAUGGUUCCUAAUAUAGCAUUGUUAGUGUUGCUGGACAAAUAAAUGAUCUACUAAAAGACGAAUCUAAUUAAAUAAUACUGUUGCCCAUGAAUUCUUCUCUUUUUUUAUUUUAUGUUGCCUAUGAAUCUAAUUAAAUAACAGUGUUGGCAUCAUUUAUUUAUUUAUUUUUUCCUUUUUGUUUUUGUUCUUGUAGAUGAUUCCUUGUUUUACAUUCCUUUGCUUUAGUUGUUUACUACUAAAAGACGAAUCUAAUUAAAUAACACUGUUGCCCAUGAAUUCUUCUCUUUUUUUUAUAUUUUAUGUUGCCUAUGAAUCUAAUUAAAUAACACUGUUGGCAUCAUUUAUUUAUUUAUUUUUUCCUUUUUGUUUUUGUUCUUGUAGAUGAUUCGUUGUUUUACAUUCCUUUGCUUUAGUUGUUUACUACUCUCACCAACUUCUGCAACAAAUAUUCUAUUUUGCAGAUCCUUUGACGGUAUUAGGCUAUUUGCUUACAAAUUGUACUUCAAAAGGUUGAACAAAUAGUCUUGGUAGCAAAAAUCGAUCCUAAGACCUAAUGCUUCAUGAGCACCAUACCUAAGUCUUUUCCAACUACAUUAACCCCUAAUAAUUGAGAUGGUGAUUUUGACCGCGCUACCAAGAAGAAUUCAAAAUAUGUACAUCAUCGAAAGAAAAUUUUAAGAUAGACAACCCAGCUGUGCAAAUUAUCAGACCUUUUGACAGAGAUCAAAACCCUACCCUAAGUUCAAAAUACAGAUAAUUGGUCUUGGGAAUAUAACCCAGGAUAUGUUUCACUAUUUUGUGUUGUUCCAAUAACAAAAUAAAAAGAAUAGACUUGAAUGAAAUUGUAUAAUACAAAGGAAAGGAAAGUGUAGUGAAACUAAAUUAUUGAGUGCAUAUAUAUAUAUAUAUAUAUAUACUAACAUUCACAUAUA